rnacentral:rRNA from 1 species
UACGAAGGGGGCUAGCGUUGCUCGGAAUCACUGGGCGUAAAGCGCACGUAGGCGGAUUGUUUAGUCAGGGGUGAAAUCCCGAGGCUCAACCUCGGAACUGCCUUUGAUACUGGCAAUCUCGAGUCCGGAAGAGGUGAGUGGAAUUCCUAGUGUAGAGGUGAAAUUCGUAGAUAUUAGGAAGAACACCAGUGGCGAAGGCGGCUCACUGGUCCGGUACUGACGCUGAGGUGCGAAAGCGUGGGGAGCAAACAGGG